GUUGCCACUCAAUGGGCAACCGGGCGUGGAAACCCGUAUCAGUACAAGGCGACACCAGACGCCGAUUGCGUCUUUUUU
rfam:Serratia symbiotica genome assembly, type strain CWBI-2.3T, contig: SYMBAF_Contig_10